rnacentral:sRNA from 1 species
GUGAGGCAAGAAGUAAAGGUGGCACUGUUCAACGUAUUCCAGAAGGAGCACCUUAUCUAAUUGACGGGGAUUAUUUGAUUUAUUAUGAUGAUGAAACCAGUGUACUUGACAAGUGUGUAUCAAGGCCAUCAAGAUGAUCCAAUGAGCAUGCGUUGUAUUCAUACCAAAACUUUCUUGUAGGCUCAACUCUUGAAAAUAGUUCAACGCUCGCAGCACAUUGGUCUGUGUACUUGCCGGUUAUUACUAUCCAUGAUGCCAUUAGAUUAUUAACAAUAUUAUUAAUACUAAGAAAGAAAAAAUUUUUUCGUCAGCUGCAGAGCAAGAAUCCCGUUGCUCCUAACCAAAUGAAGUGGGCCCAUUAAAAAAAUUGUUGUAAAAUGUCA